AACGAACGCUGGCGGUGUGCUUAACACAUGCAAGUCGAACGAGAAAGUUUCCUUCGGGAGCGAGUAAAGUGGCGCAAGGGUGAGUAACACGUGAAUAAUCUGCCCUCGAGACUGGGAUAACCUGGUGAAAACUAGGCUAAUACCGGAUAAGACCACGUCCCGCAAGGGAUGCGGGAAAAGGAGGCUCAACCUCCACUUGUGGAUGAGUUCGCGGACCAUUAGCUUGUUGGUGAGAUAACAGCUCACCAAGGCUACGAUGGAUAGCCGGCCUGAGAGGGUGAACGGCCACACUGGAACUGAGACACGGUCCAGACUCCUACGGGAGGCAGCAGUGGGGAAUCUUGCACAAUGGGCGAAAGCCUGAUGCAGCAACGCCGCGUGAGUGAAG
rnacentral:rRNA from 1 species